GAUGAACGCUGGCGGCGUGCCUAAUACAUGCAAGUCGAGCGAACAGAUGAGGAGCUUGCUCCUCUGACGUUAGCGGCGGACGGGUGAGUAACACGUGGAUAACCUACCUAUAAGACUGGGAUAACUUCGGGAAACCGGAGCUAAUACCGGAUAAUAUAUUGAACCGCAUGGUUCAAUAGUGAAAGACGGUUUUGCUGUCACUUAUAGAUGGAUCCGCGCCGCAUUAGCUAGUUGGUAAGGUAACGGCUUACCAAGGCAACGAUGCGUAGCCGACCUGAGAGGGUGAUCGGCCACACUGGAACUGAGACACGGUCCAAACUCCUACGGGAGGCAGCAGUAGGAAAUCUUCCGAAAUGGGCGAAAGCCUGACGGAGAAACGCCGCGUGGGUGAUGAAGGUCUUCGGAUCGUAAAACUCUGUUAUUGGGAAAGAACAAAUGUGUAAGUAACUAGGAACGUCUGGACGGUACCUAAUCAGAAAGCCACGGCUAACUACGU
rnacentral:rRNA from 1 species